rnacentral:rRNA from 1 species
GUGUCAGCCGCCGCGGUAAGACAGAGGAGGCAAGCGUUGUCCGGACUGACUGGGCGUAAAGCGUCCGCAGGUGGUCGUGCAAGUGCGCUGUGAAAGCGGCCCGCUCAACGGGCCGAGGCCAGCGCAGACUGCUCGACUGGAGGUCGGGAGAGGUCGGUGGAAUUGCCGGUGUAGUGGUGAAAUGCGUAGAGAUCGGCAGGAACACCCAAGGGGAAGCCAGCCGACUGGCCCGCACCUGACACUCAGGGACGACAGCGUGGGGAGCGAACCGGAUUAGAAACCCGUGUAGUCC